GUGUCAUAGUGACACAUAUUUUCUCUGAGAUAAGUAUUUUCAAAGUGUACAUUUGUCAAGUUUCCAAUGGACUUUUAUUAUUUUCAGCAUUAUUGAUUUUUCUGAGGUCAUGUUUUCGAGUGACAACAGUGUCAACGUAUACGAAAGGAGUAAAAUUAGGAUAAUUAUUUGGACAUCAGAAUAACUGGCUACAUUGUGCGUAACUGGAAAACCCUUUUCAGGAAUGCACUUGAGGCAUAGGAACAUUAGGACGAUCUGCCCUAAAGAAUUAUAUAAGAGUGAGGUAUAAUUCUGCUUAUUAUGGGUAACACGUGGGAAAGCUCUUUGUAGAAGGACACCAAUUGUCUCUCGAGCUUUGGAAGGGAGUGCACUAGUCAUCAGGCACUUCUGGGAGUUGGGAAGCAUGUCGAUGCUGUACCUGGACACUCUGGAUAGGCCAGGAUAAGGAAACAUUGGGAAUGUGGUAAUUCCGUUAGUAUGUUUUGUUAUUUUAUUUUAUUUUCGUUAAUAGAGGUCAUUAUCGUGUGUAUUUAGUUAUUUUCUGGGAAUGUGUUGUCGAUAGAACGAUUAUAGCUUGUGUCGGAGAUUUCUAUUUCAUUCUUUAUUUCUGGAAUAUUAUUGAAUUCAUUCUACGAGUCUAUGAAGACUUUAUUAUUUUAUUUUAUACUCUGAGAGUGAGAUUAAGUCAUGUCCAUGAUAUUUUUGUUAAA